rnacentral:rRNA from 1 species
GGAUUAGAUACCCUGGUAGUCCACGCCGUAAACGAUGUCUACUAGCCGUUGGGGAACUUGAUUCUUUAGUGGCGCAGCUAACGCACUAAGUAGACCGCCUGGGGAGUACGGUCGCAAGAUUAAAACUCAAAUGAAUUGACGGGGGCCCGCACAAGCGGUGGAGCAUGUGGUUUAAUUCGAUGCAACGCGAAGAACCUUACCUACUCUUGACAUCCAGAGAACUUAGCAGAGAUGCUUUGGUGCCUUCGGGAACUCUGAGACAGGUGCUGCAUGGCUGUCGUCAGCUCGUGCCG